AAACUAAAGCCCAAUCCAAACCUUGAACUAAAAUUUGUUGGGUUGAACCAAUCCAGACCCGACCCACUUGAACCGCCAAGAGCAAACUACUCGAAACGGGUUCAGCCUCCACAAGCGGACGGGCAGAUUGGGGAUCAGAGAUGGCGCUUCAGCUUCUCAAGCUCCCAAAUCACACCAUAAUCUCCCGCCGUUUUGGUAGAGCAACUUGAAGCUUCUCUCUUCUCUUCUCGCAACCCAACUUACAAAAGCUUCCGUUUUUGAGCUCUAACAGAGGAAGAGGCUGAUGAUGAGCUAUGCCUUUAUAGGUUUCAGCAAUAUAGUCGAACCUUCAUCCGGUCAUGGAUUUUACAAGUGUAGGGAAAGUGUGUGUAGACGGAAAGGUGGUCAACAAAGCAGGGACUCCAGUCUCAGACAAAGCUCUUGUACAGAUAAUUGCUGAAGUCCCAAUAUCUAUGUAUGUAGAGCAGGACACAAGUUAGAAGCAGCCAUUGAACAGCUAGGUAUCGAUGUUUCUGGCAAAGUAGCUCUUGAUUCAGGGUUAUCAACCGGUGGAUUUACUGACUGUUUACUUCAGUACGGUGCGUCAUUGUUUAUGGAGUUGAUGUAGGUUAUGGGCAGGUAAUACAAUUAUUUGUUAGUAAUUCAAGUUUUGUAAAUUUUUCAUCGUUAUCUGGUUCUUUAGCUGUUUCAAUCUCUCUUUUCUAUUUUCUGUUAGGGGAAAUUCCGAGGAUUCGUUGCUUGUCUAAUUCUAUAUGUUCUCUAUGUGCUAUUCCCCCAUGGAAAAAAACAUCUGUUCUAAGAAAAGUUGAAAGCUAGGUAGCUUUGUUUCACUAUUACGCCUUUGGGUUUUACACUUGGUCACGGCUUCUUUUAAUUUGGAAGUAGGUCAUGCUGCUAUGGUCAGUGUGAUGAAGGAAGAGGCGACAUUGGUCACCCUGGUUAAACAUCAAACCGAAGCUCGCAGAUCACAAGUAAGAGUCUUACAUCAACCAGUACUUACCUUUGGAAGCUAUUUCGGGUUUAUUUUACUAGAAAUUAGAAGGUAUAGCAGAUAUGGCAAUAUAGGGAAGGAGUUACCUUCCUUUUCUGGGCUACAACAUUAAUGCCAAUUCAACUGCUAUUUGAUAUUUAAAGAAAACCUUGCGAACUGGGAAGACAUGAGAAACAUGAGAAACAUUAUGCAUUUACCUUUGGAAGUUUCCAGAAUAAUGAGUAUUUCCUUUGCAUUUGUAUGCACCACUAAAUACUAAUCCCUGCAUAAAGAUCAGACAGACUUUGAUAAGUCCACAUUUAUAAGUUUUCCUUGCUCUUUAUUGUGCUCAAUGCAUGGAA